rnacentral:rRNA from 1 species
CAAUAGCGUAUAUUAAAGUUGUUGCAGUUAAAAAGCUCGUAGUUGGAUUUCUGGUAGGAGUGACCGUUCCGAACUUGAUUGUUCGUGUAUUGUGUUUUCUCCAGCCAUCCUUGUGGAGAACUUUUCUUGCAUUAAUUUGUAGGGAUUGGGACCCGCAUCGUUUACUGUGAAAAAAUUAGAGUGUUUAAAGCAGGCAAUCGCUUGAAUACAUUAGCAUGGAAUAAUAAGAUAGGACUUUGGUACUAUUUUGUUGGUUUGCAUACCAAAUUAAUGAUCAACAGGAACAGUUUGAGGAUAUUCGUAUGAACAUGUCAGAGGUGAAAUUCUUGGAUUUUGAUCAGACGAACUACUGCGAAAGCAUAUAUCAAGGAUGUUUUCAUUAA